GUAGGGUGCGAGCGUUAAUCGGAAUUACUGGGCGUAAAGUGUGCGCAGGCGGCGCUGCAAGUCGAGUGUGAAAUCCCCGAGCUUAACUUGGGAAUUGCGCUCGAGACUACGGCGCUGGAGUAUGGCAGAGGAAGGUGGAAUUCCACGUGUAGCGGUGAAAUGCGUAGAGAUGUGGAGGAACACCGAUGGCGAAGGCAGCCUUCUGGGCCAAUACUGACGCUCAUGCACGAAAGCGUGGGGAGCAAACAGGAUUAGAUACCCUGGUAGUCCACGCCCUAAACGAUGAUGACUAGUUGUUGGAGGAGUUAAAUCCUUUAGUAACGCAGCUAACGCGUGAAGUCAUCCGCCUGGGGAGUACGGUCGCAAGAUUA
rnacentral:rRNA from 1 species